GUCAGCAUGGUGUAGUGGUUUGAGCACUAGAUUACAAUCCUGGAGACUAGGGUUCAAAUCCUUGCUCAGCCA